CGUGCCCGAGAGUGGGGGAUAACGAAGCGAAAGCUUUGCUAAUACCGCAUACGAUCUCAGGAUGAAAGCAGGGGACCGCAAGGCCUUGCGCUCACGGAGCGGCCGAUGGCAGAUUAGGUAGUUGGUGGGAUAAAAGCUUACCAAGCCGACGAUCUGUAGCUGGUCUGAGAGGACGACCAGCCACACUGGGACUGAGACACGGCCCAGACUCCUACGGGAGGCAGCAGUGGGGAAUUUUGGACAAUGGGCGCAAGCCUGAUCCAGCCAUGCCGCGUGCAGGAUGAAGGCCUUCGGGUUGUAAACUGCUUUUGUACGGAACGAAAAGACUCUGGUUAAUACCUGGGGUCCAUGACGGUACCGUAAGAAUAAGCACCGGCUAACUACGUGCCAGCAGCCGCGGUAAUACGUAGGGUGCGAGCGUUAAUCGGAAUUACUGGGCGUAAAGCGUGCGCAGGCGGUUAUGUAAGACAGAUGUGAAUCCCCGGGCUCAACCUGGGAACUGCAUUUGUGACUGCAUAGCUAGAGUACGGCAGAGGGGGAUGGAAUUCCGCGUGUAGCAG
rnacentral:rRNA from 1 species